AUUGAACGCUGGCGGCAUGCCUUACACAUGCAAGUCGAACGGCAGCACGGACUUCGGUCUGGUGGCGAGUGGCGAACGGGUGAGUAAUGUAUCGGAACGUACCAUUGAGUGGGGGAUAACGUAGCGAAAGUUACGCUAAUACCGCAUAUUCUCUCCGGAGGAAAGCAGGGGACCGCAAGGCCUUGCGCUCUUUGAGCGGCCGAUAUCAGAUUAGCUAGUUGGUGGGGUAAAAGCUCACCAAGGCGACGAUCUGUAGCGGGUCUGAGAGGAUGGUCCGCCACACUGGAACUGAGACACGGUCCAGACUCCUACGGGAGGCAGCAGUGGGGAAUUUUGGACAAUGGGGGCAACCCUAAUCCAGCCAUGCCGCGUGAGUGAAGAAGGCCUUCGGGUUGUAAAGCUCUUUCGGCCGGGAAAAAAUCGCAUGGGCUAAUAUCCUGUGUGGAUGAUGGUACCGGAAUAAGAAGCACCGGCUAACUACGUGCCAGCCGCCGCAGUAA
rnacentral:rRNA from 1 species